CCUUCCCUACGGGAGGCAGCAGUAGGGAAUCUUCCACAAUGGGCGAAAGCCUGAUGGAGCAACGCCGCGUGGGUGAAGAAGGUCUUCGGAUCGUAACACCCUGUUGUUAGAGAAGAAAGUGCGUGAGAGUAACUGUUCACGUUUCGACGGUAUCUAACCAGAAAGCCACGGCUAACUACGUGCCAGCAGCCGCGGUAAUACGUAGGUGGCAAGCGUUAUCCGGAUUUAUUGGGCGUAAAGGGAACGCAGGCGGUCUUUUAAGUCUGAUGUGAAAGCCUUCCGCUUAACCGGAGGAGUG
rnacentral:rRNA from 1 species